rnacentral:misc_RNA from 1 species
CAAUGAACUAAAAGCAAGAACCAAUCAUAUUAUGGCGUUUAACUGACGUUUUUAACUGGCUAAUCACAGUUAUUCCCUUCUUUAGAAGAAUGGCUGUGAUUGGCCUUAUAACGUCAUUAAUCGCUCCAAUAUGGAUUAACUACAUCGUAGGAGACCCGCGAAAAACACCACUGUUUACAGUUUACAUUACAUUCCCGCACGUCACGUAUUGUCACGUAUUUAAAAUCCUGGUGAAACGGCAUAAAACGGUUGAUGGUUACGUGAUAAGUAUUGAAAGCAAUUGAAAGUGGUUUGAAAUUACGUUGUGGCGCCCCAUAUUUUGUACAUCCGAUAAUACGUUAAAUUUUAGUCAAACUAAUGGUUUUACGUUCCAAAAAAUGGAUGAAAUGCAAGUAAAAAUUGAAAGAUGGACAAAAUUGAUACAAUCGGAGAAACUGCAAGAUGUGUUGGAGGAUAUUCAAAUGAGCAUCCAUGUGCGACCUAAUAGUAAACUAAAUGACAGUAUAUUUAAGUUACUAAUACAUCUAUGUCGCAUAACAGACAAAUACAACAAACCGAAUUACGAAACUGGAAAAAAUAUUGCUAAGUUAACCAAAUUGCUUUGCUCGUUAUUGAUUGAGGUGCCUAAUAACAGCAACUUUGUCAAAGCCUUAUUUAAAAUUGUUCGUUAUUUAAUUACUUCUAAUCUGCAUGAUAAUGCGGCAGAAAUUUGCUGUUACUUGCAACCUGGCGAUUUAUAUGAUCCUCAAGACGACACCAUGAAUCUUCUGAUAAAAGUAUUAUCCUUAUGGCGUGUCUCACUUAACAAUAUAUAUGUUGCCAUUACAAAUGAAUCUUUAAAUACAGAAAAUUAUAAUAAACUAAAAAGUGUCUUAAAGCACGAAAUGAAAAUGAUACAGAUAGCAUACAAAAGUUAUACAAAGCAUUUAAUAGCAGAAAUUAAUGUACAUUUAGAUAGAUUAGCAGUGAUUGAUAAAGAUAAAAAAUAUUUUGAUGAUUUUUGUAAAUAUGCAUUGGAAUACUUGUCAGAAGUGCAGUUGUACUUAGACCAGACUGAAAAACACACUAUAUAUAGUCAUAUUUUAAGUAUUAUAUGUCAUGUAAUAUGUAGGGCCAUUAAUACAACUGGUAUUGAAUCUGCAGUAAAAACGUUAGAUGAAUUAUCUAGUUGUUUCGAAAAUCUUCUGGUAGAAGACAAUGAAUGCUAUCAAUGCUUUCGACAAUUUCAGAGCUUGUGCAUGACUCUUUUAGUACCAAAGGAGAAUCUUGUCAGUGACAGUGCCAAAAAUAUACAAAAUAUUAUUAGCUGUAACUUGAACAUUGCCCAGAAGUAUGGAUAUGCAGGUCUUAAGUGGAAUGCAAUCAACAUAGGAAAAAUAGUUGAACCCAUGUUUACAUACUGGGAAAAGUGUAUGGAAACUGAUAAACAACACAUGCUUGAGCGUUUGCUUGAUACUGAUGUUUUGGUAGAACUAAUGAAUUUAUUUGUACAUAUAAAUACAGAUGAGUUUUACGUCAAGAAAACAUCGGUCAAGUGUAAUUGGUGCCUAAACAAUUUGUGUACAAUUAAGAGGGAUUUAUACAACGCUAUUGUGAUAAAAUGUAGAUGCAUUAGUGUAAUAUGUAAGUUUCCUAUGAAAACUUUGCCAGAGAAAGUAUGUGCACUUGCGAGAGAAAUUUUGAAGCAAAACGUCAAAUCGAUUAUUCAUGAAAUGAAAGAAUGUAAAUGUAAGCGCUGGUCACAAUCGUGGAAUACUUGUCGUAAUUCAAUUUAUAAUGUAGGCAUACUGUCGGAACAUGUAUAUGAGGAAAGCGUAAGUCUGUAUUCUUUUUUAUGUACCUGCAUCUUUCAACUCGAAGGAAUCGAAUCAAGCUCUAUAUAUCCUGAAAAUUCUAAAAAUCUUGAAAGUAUUAUAUCCCUUGCAUUGCACAGAUUAAGUGUUGUGCAUUACAACAAUAAUAUGUAUAGGAAAGCCAUGACUGUGUGUGCAUUGAAUGCCUUCUUAACUUGUAAUCAGUUGAACACAAAAGCUUUUCAUACAUGGACAAAUAUUAAAAAGAAUGCUCCUGUAGAAAUUGCAGAUCUUACUAUGCUGGAAUGCUUAACAAAAGAUAAAGACAAAAUAAAAAGCGAACUGGGAUUUUCAAUCAAUACUUCUAAAUAUGAUUUUACAGAGUUGUGUAUACGUGAAGCGAGAAAUUUAUUCCAAGAACAGAUCGCAUUUACAAAUAGUGUGACAGCAGUUCUAGAAAAACUUCGACAGCUACAAUCUAGUAAUCAAUAUGCACACACAGUGCAAUUAUUAGGAUAUUAUUUCUUAGGUUUUAAAUAUGACAGUUGUAUUUUGAAAUAUUAUGAGCAAACUAUAUGUGAUUUGAAGCAAAAAAGAAAUUGUAAUAAAUCAAAUUCUAUGGUAGCUGUUUUAUGCUUGGAAGCUAACUUGAGCCUUUUUACAUUUGUGGAGGAAUUGCAUGUAAUGACUAAACAAACUCACAUGGAAAUGGAAAAUACAAAAUUUGCUUUAUGUGCUCCCAAGUUACGAGAACUAGCAGAAACCAAUUCUCCAAAUGUAGUUUCUGCUUAUACUAUGAUAAACGUUAAAAAGGAUACCAAUCUUAUGUUGUGUUUACAAAAAUCAUUGAAAAAGUGGAAACAACUAUUUAAAAACUAUUUUAAAGAAAUUGUGAAGAAUUGGGAACCUAAACUCAUACUUCGUAUGCUGAUAACGGCUGGUGAAUAUGCUCGAUUAUAUCGAUAUGAGGACUGCGAAGCUGAAAUAUGGACAUUGGUAUAUAAGUUAGCAUCAGAAAUGAAUGACCAUACAAUUAUUUAUAUUACAGGUCGUUGUAUAUCAUUAAGACAAAUCAAUUAUGAUUGGAUUAUUACUGCUAAGAAGCAAGCUAUAAAGCAAAGAAAUUCUGAGGAUGAAAAUGUAAUUAGUGCUAUUGCUAUCUUUUGGAUAAGUUUAGCAGAUUUCUAUUUUGAAUGUGGAAAGUAUGAUGAUGCUAAGCAAUUACUUACCGAAGCUAGGAAUCUUUCGGGAAUUUCAUUUCUUGCUAAUAAAUCCGUGUAUCUGUUAAGUUUAGAUGUUAUCAUACGCAAUAGCAAUUUUUAUAAAGAUGAUAUGCAACACGAGGAUUAUGCUUCCUAUCUUGUGGAAAGUUUAUAUGCAGUGAGGAGCUUAAAUCAAGAUCUACUGACGCAAAAAUGGAUCAAUCAAACGACAUAUCUUUUCAGUUACGAUAUACUUUUCACUACGGCAGUUAAUUUAUCUAUAAGAAUAAAUAGUAUAUUGUCUUUUCGUGGUAUUAGUCCAGACUUAGUACGACUUUUAAAGUCGGCACAGAGUUUAAACGCGAUGUUGCGUACUGCUGAAUUAUUGAAAUCGCUGUGUUAUAUUGAUUUAUCGCGUUCAAAAUUGGAUGAUUGCGAGGUGAAGUUGCAAGAUCUCGAACACAUGUUAAACAUUGAGACAUUUCAGUUGUCGAUGGAGUCUAAACUCGUUGAAACAUUCUCAAAUAAUCUAAUGGUGACCCCUACGAAGAUAAUAGAUCCAGUCAGAAAUAUAUCGCAGAAUGGUGCUUCCCCAGUGCUCGGCAAGAAAGUCUUUGACUUGCCGAAAUUCACAUUGCAUACGAAUUGCCAUUGCUACAAGUGCGACAAUGUUUCGUACCAGUAUUUGGUGUUUACUACCACUUAUAUCAGAGCGCAACUAUAUGCCUUGCAGAAUCACACUGCGGCAGCACUAGAUCACUUCCAUGGCGCUUUUGAAAUAAGGCGGAGACUAUUCGAAGAGGAAAAAUCAGUUUUGCCUGAGAACUGGUCUCACGAUGAAAUUGGCAAUGUCGAGACAAGAGGAUGCACUCGAUAUUGCCAAUUUAGCAAUGAAUAUAUGUUACAAAUAUAAAGUACACGGACAUCCUGUCUAUAUAAUGGCGAAGGAAUUAAACCUGGACAAUGAAUUCCAACCGAUAUUAGAAUCUUUAGAUUGUUCAAAGUUUACGACUUCACAGCCACAUGACAUUGAUAUAAGUGAUCAUGCAAAAAUUCCGAUUGAUCCAAGCAUUUGUGUCACGCCAGUCGCUCAAAACCAUCGUACUAGGAAACCUCUUUCACUUCAACGUAAGAAGAAUCCA